rnacentral:rRNA from 1 species
AAAGACUUAGUCCUAACCUUACGGUUGGUUUUUGCUAAAUAUAUACAUGCAAGUAUCCGCGCCCCAGUGUAAACGCCCUCGACCACCUAUCCCUAUACAGGCCUUGAGGAGCGGGUAUCAGGCACACCCAAGUAGUAGCCCAAGACGCCUCGCUAAGCCACGCCCCCACGGGUAUUCAGCAGUAAUUAACAUUAAGCAAUGAGUGCAAACUUGACUUAGUUAUAGCAACAGCCUAACUUCAAGGGUUGGUAAAUCUUGUGCCAGCCACCGCGGUCAUACAAGAAACCCAAAUCAACCGUCCUAUUAACACGGCGUAAAGAGUGGUAAAAUGCCUAUCCUAGCUAACUAAGAUCAAAAUGCAACUAAGCUGUCAUAAGCCCAAGAUGCACCUAAACACACCAUUAAGAUGAUCUUAGGAACUAACGACUGAUUUAAACCCACGAAAGCCAGGGCCCAAACUGGGAUUAGAUACCCCACUAUGCCUGGCCCUAAAUCUUGAUACUUACUU